UACGGGGGGGGCAAGCGUUGUUCGGAAUUACUGGGCGUAAAGGGCUCGUAGGCGGCCAACUAAGUCAGACGUGAAAUCCCUCGGCUUAACCGAGGAACUGCCCUCCAAACUGCUUCGCUUGAGACCGGGAGAGGUGAGUGGAAUUCCCAGUGUAGCGGUGAAAUGCGUAGAUAUUGGGAGGAACACCAGUGGCGAAGGCGGCUCACUGGACCGGUACUGACGCUGAUGCGCGAAAGCGUGGGGAGCAAACGGG
rnacentral:rRNA from 1 species